rnacentral:lncRNA from 1 species
AGCGCAAGCUGCUGCCUGUUUGCCUGUUUGCUUAAGCUCACCUCCCCCCCAGCCCCUCUCCAUCGGACCCUGUUAUUUUGAGACCCUAAGGAUACUGUGGGUUCUACACAGGUCUGCCUGGUUCCUUGCUGCAGGCUGGCUGCCCUGGAAGUCUUCUCAGGAACUAUGAGAACAUCAAGUCUGUUCAGAUGGCAUCUCCUAGACAUCUCAUUUACAUACUCUUUCUCUCUCAGGCUGGCACCCCUUGUCAUCAUGGAUUUUGCUACCCUACCAGCCAAGGAUGCUGCCUGUGGACCUUUGACGAGAACCAUGAGUCAAGAUGAGAUCCCCUCGAUCCAGUCUUUAUAUUGUUGCUAACAGAAGAUGGAGUAAGACACCCAUAUUCUCUAACAACCUUCUACAAAGUUAGAGGUGAACAAGACUCCAAUUAGUGUCCUAAUGCUCUCCAAAACACACCCAGGAGCACUAGAUCUAAAGAUACCAGCCUAUGAGGAUACUGGUCAUAAUGGGAUGAAAUCUCAGUUUUGCAGCUCUGAGGCUGGAUCUAUAGCUGGUCCCAGUACGUUCUCCACACUAAAGCCUGCAGAGCCGUUCAGAAGCUACCCUGUGGGCUCAAAGAGCUUGGAUGUUAUUGCCACUCUUUCUAGGUAAGGACCAAGCUCCUUUUCUUGCUCUCCUCCCACUCCCCUCCUGAUUUCUAACCCUUGCAGCGUUCCAGCUAUUUAACUGCUUGAGCAAGGUUAACUCUUGAUUGAUGGACCAUUUUGUCCACCACAAGGGCUCCGGGGAUAAAUCUGUGAGAUGAGGCUAAAUUUUAUCAACAGUUUAGGAGUGAUUCUACAUUUGAACAACUGGUUCAGCUCCUGAAGUGUGUUUGAUUUCCAUCUGUGCUCCUGAAGCCUUUCUUCUUCUAGUUGCUGGAACUUUCCACACUGCUGUCAGUCAAAAGGUCCUCUCUCCACAGCUCCUGUUGUUCUUUAGAUCUCAGCCCCUGUGUUCAGUCCAACAGGGAAACCUGCUCUGUGGCCUUCUCCAGAGCUGGGUGUGUGGAUUGUUUCUCCCUGUUUUAACCCCCUCCUAUUUAUUUAUGCAUUUUUGGCUCAACAUUCUCUGUAAUUGAUUGUGGCAUGUAUCAGUCACUUACUGCUGAAAGAAUAAAACGAGAAUCGAGUGGUUAGGUUGAGCAUUUGUUUUAAAAAGAAUAUCAUUAAGUUAUUUCCAUAUAUGCAUACAAUGAGCCUUGACCAUCCUUUCAUGGUCUCUUCUAUACUUCUAAUGCCCUUCUUCCCUUUCACAUCUCUGUGAGAUAAGAAAAUGGGUCUUUGUGGGGCUCUUUUAUUCCACUUAACAUAUUGAUUUCUAGUUCCUUCCACUUUCCUGCAAACAGCAUAGUUUCAUUCAUUAUGACACAACUAAGUUUCAUGAUGUAUGUUUACUAUAUUUUCUUUAUUUGUUCUUCCUUUGGUAGUUAUCAGGCAAUGUUUUAAAAUUCGAUGUUAUGCAUGGGUAUUGUGCAUGCUGCCCCAAUCUCUGUGAGGUCCUGUGUGCAACUGCCCUGCUGUGUCCAGAAUGCUCGGCUUCAAUGCCGUUGUCUCUCACUUCUGGCUCUUAGAGUGUUUCAGGCCAAUCUUGCACCAUGAUUUUGGAUGGGUACACACCCAAAAGUAUGUAGGUGGCAUAAAAUGGACUUGGUGAGUUUUCAAAAAUGAGGACACAAAGUUAGAUGGGUAUGGAAUGAGGGGUGGAUCUGGGAGGAGUUGUGGAAAGGUGGAUAAGUUUAAGCAAAUAUAAUGCAAAAAAUUCUCAAAGCAUUUAAUACAAAUAUUUGAUGCUAUAUGUUCCAGUGGACAUUUGUUUUUGAUUGUUUGUUUGUUUUGUUUUUUCCAUUAUACUUUUUUGGAGUCAAUUUGGCCAAAUAAUAGAAAGCCCUUGAAGAUACAUGCCUAACUUGUCAUGAGGAAACCUGGUUCCUGCCCAUUCCACAUCAACCUGUCUCUUCACUAGUUACCCAGUCUCCCAUAUUCUACUUAGAGAGCAACAAGAGACCAAAGAAAUGAUUGUGUCUACAUCCAGGUUGGUGAAUCAAUGAGUUUGUUGUGGUUGCUCCUAGGAGGAGUGUAGGUAACCAAAAGGCAGCAUCACUGUAUCGUUGAUGGGUGGGUGAUGACUCAGGAGAGCUAAAUUACUGGAGUUCCCUA